rnacentral:tRNA from 1 species
ACCUGGCUGGCUCAGUACAUAGAGCAUGUGAUUUUUGAUCUUUGGGUUGUGAGUUCAAGCCUCAUGUUGGGCC